GAUGAACGCUGGCGGCGUGCCUAAUACAUGCAAGUCGAGCGAACAGAUGAGGAGCUUGCUCCUCUGACGUUAGCGGCGGACGGGUGAGUAACACGUGGAUAACCUACCUAUAAGACUGGGAUAACUUCGGGAAACCGGAGCUAAUACCGGAUAAUAUAUUGAACCGCAUGGUUCAAUAGUGAAAGACGGUUUUGCUGUCACUUAUAGAUGGAUCCGCGCCGCAUUAGCUAGUUGGUAAGGUAACGGCUUACCAAGGCAACGAUGCGUAGCCGACCUGAGAGGGUGAUCGGCCACACUGGAACUGGGACACGGUCCAGACUCCUACGGGAGGCAGCAGUAGGGAAUCUUCCGCAAUGGGCGAAAGCUUGACGGAGCAACGCCGCGUGAGUGAUGAAGGUCUUCGGAUCGUAAAACUCUGUUAUUAGGGAAGAACAAAUGUGUAAGUAACUAUGCACGUCUUGACGGUACCUAAUCAGAAAGCCACGGCUAACUACGUG
rnacentral:rRNA from 1 species